rnacentral:misc_RNA from 1 species
CGUGUGGGGCCACCACCACCACCGUCAUCGCCGCUAUCACCUGGUGCCCUUACCUUUCUUCCCGUCACUCGCUCAGCGCCUCCCUCCCCCUCCCCUCCACAUUGCCCAUCGUCUCUGUCUGUCUGUCGGUGGUGGUUGUGCGCGUCGCCGGAUGUCGGACGUCACUCGCUGCUUAACGCCCCUUCCUUCCUUCCUUCCUUCCCCCUCUUCCCCCUCUUCCCCCCUCUCCUGCUUUCUGCUCCUCCUCCUCCUCAUUCUCUGUCUUUUUAUUGAAACCCAUCCGCUCACUUACCACCCACUACCCACAUCCACAUCCAUCCACCACCCAGUGGGGGAGAGGGGGGGGGGGGAGACUACGCCAGAGACGGCCGCCGCACCGGCGCACGGAAGGGACGUAGUUUCUUUGGUCUGUUUUCAUCUCUCCUGUGGAGUGGCGCCGUUGACUUGGGCAGAUUCAUCGCCCCGCUCGCGCCCGCCAUCUCUCUCUCUCUCCCCUCUCUGCGCGUGCGCGUGCGUCUGUUGAUGCGGAGAGGUGGGCAUCCCCAUUACCAUUAUGAGCGUCUUUUACGUGGCGGCGAGCUACGCCGUCUUCUUCUACUUCGGUGAGCUUCUCAUGCGCCUCGUUGUGGUGCAGCCACUGAGCGACGCCAGCGCGGUGCGGUGGUGCUUCGCCAGCACCUUUGCGCUGUCGGUGUCGCUCUUCAGCGCGGUCCUCGUAGACAUGGCAGAGGCGUCGCUGCUCCCAUCUGCGGCCGCUUCCUCGACUGCGGCUGCUGAGGGCGGUGCGAGCGGCAUCGCUGGAGCAGGUGGCAAGUGGGCGUCGUGGCUGUCGAUGACGUCACUGCUGUUCCAUCCGCUCAUGCGGGUCAGCGCGCGGUCUUUUACGUGGCUGCUGCUGCUCUUGCUGAGCACGGUGCUAGUCGCCUGCCCCGCCGUCUUUGUCAUCUCGCUUCUGCGCCACUUAGUUGUCCGUGGCAGUGGCCGCCGGACCGCUGGCAAGCGGUUCUGCAGCUCGCGGAGGUCAUCGCGAAGCGCGAGUGGCUUUUGGGGUUCCGGUGCGAGUCACUUGUACAGCAGCCGCUUUAGCAGCCGGCCACGCUCCGAUUUGAGCUCGCUUUUCCGGCACGACUGCGAGGACACAACGCGCUCGCGUGGGCUCUGUGGUCGGCUGCGCUGGGUGCUGGUGUGCUUGCUGGUGGUGGCCGCUCUCGUCUGCGCCGGCGUGUGGACGGCGCGCGUGAUGGCGCUGGAUGUGCACGCGGUGCGACACACCUCUAUCGCGACCGUGCGGCGAGUGUACACGCAACUGCAGACCCGCACGACCAUGCUGAACGUGCCACGGGAGAUCGAACACAAGAGCACUUCCGGUGCUGGCGGUGACACGGCAACCCGAUCGUCGGCGCAGGAGGCCGGUCAGAUGAGAAGCGUUGCAGAGGGCGUCCUUGAGGCCGCCGCUGACCGUGUCGCCGAACUCCUUGUCGACGCGAAGGUGGAGGUGCCUGGUGGUGGCGGUGAUGCCAAUGGACAGGCGCAGUUGCCACAACAGCCGCGGCGACCAUUCCCUGUCGCUGAAGCCGUGCACGCGAUGCCGUCCGCUGCGGCGGACUUGCACGCGCUUGUGUGCGCCAUAACCUCGCGCGUCGCGACCGUUGGUGUGGCGAUGAUCGGCCUCUUGUCCGGCUACGCCGCCGUCACCUCCCCAUGUUUGUUCUUGGCGCCCUACACGUACUGGCGCGGACGCGAGGAGGACCUGCGGAAGGCACAACAAAACUUCAACAAGAAGCUAUGCUACGUGCUAAACAGCUACGGUGCAGCGCAGCGCCAGAUCGCCGCCCUGCAGUACAGCGUGCUGCAUGAAGAGUGGCCCUCACCGGCCUUUGCUGCCGGCUCACCAAGCCCGCACCGCGGGCACUCGUCGUCUCGGCCAAAGCAGAGCCCGGCUCUCUACCGCGCAGGCGCUGGCUUUGACCCGGCGAACCCCUACCACGCCCCGUAUCCGGGUUUUGACGGCAGCGGCGGCAUCAGCGACUCCCCCGCACAGGGGAGACUUUUGGGUGGCAGCGACUUACGGCAGUCUACCGGCCUCGGCAAUCAGUCAGCGCCGUCGCACGCGCCACAGCGCCAGACGCAGAACCAAAGCCCCAGCGGCGCGGUGGGAUGGCUUCAGCAGAAACUCUCUAACGCCGCCCACGCGGUCGCUGGCGGCGCCUCACCUGGCGGUCGUCUCUAUCCCAAGAGCCCCACCUCAGCCGUCAGCAACCCUACCCUCUCCCGCCAGCGGGCCAUCGCGCGCAUCAGCACACUGCGCAGCGAGUCGGCGGCGUCACGCUUCCUCAGUCUGUCGAUGUACCUGCAGCUGCACGAGGUGGAGGGCAUGCUUCGUGAAGCGCAGCGCGGGGCGACUUGGGUGGGCCGAUGGUACGCCGGCCUCGGGGUGGCCAUGGCGCUCUACUCGGCCGUGAAGAUCAGCCUGACAGUGGCGAGUCUGUGGCUGUUCAAGGCCUCUACGCAGGACCCCGUCACGCAGGCGGUGACGCUGCUUGAGAACACAUUCAUCUUGCGUCGACGCAACGCCGAGGGCGCCGUGUCCUUCUCCGUGACUGCCGUAGAGGUCAGCACUCACGUCGUUCUUGCGCUGGCGCUCGUGGUGAACGGGUGGAUGUUGUUGAACUCGAUCCGCGGCGUGCUCUUGGCUCUCUUCCACGUGACGAUGUCUUUCAGCGGGUCUGCCAUCUGCCGGCCCGAGACGAUUUCCGUCGGUCUCUCGAUGAUGAUCGGGGUGUACUUCAUUGGACAGCUGGUCAUGCUGCGCUCGUCCCUUCCAGAAACCGUGGCAAACACGCCCGGCGGGGCGCCGCCGCCUGACGGCACCGCCGCACCCAACGUGCUCCUCGCCGUGCUGGGCUCUCUGCCAUACUACUACUACCAGCGGCUAAGCGACUGGUGCUUUUUGGUCGGCUGCGGCGGCGCCGUCGUCGUGCGCAGCGUUGUGCUGCGUGAUACGCUGUUGUCUGUUGUGUACACUUCCAGCGGUGGUGAGGAGCAACAUGUGGUGGGCUGAGCAGCGGAAGGUCGAUGAUGGCCGCAGGCGAAUGCGGCGCACUUGAUGGCUGUUGUGCCGGCUGCUUCAUGCACCGGGAGAAAGAGCUGCAGCCACACCUCCCCCUCCUCCCUCUUCGCGCUGUCUGUGUCUUUCUCGUAUUGUUUGCCGUCUCACCGCGCUGGAUCGGAGUGAUCGUCGCGCGUCUCCUCGUGCUCGGUGCGGGGCGUGAGCACGUCAUGGUGUGCCCACCAUUUCAUCUCUCUUUCUUCGGUCUUUUCCUGUUCGCGCACGGAGGCGAAUGCUGAUCAUCCGCAUUAUCGCUCGUCGUGAACCAAGUCGUAAAACACGAACGCUUGGCGGCGGCACGUCAUGUCGGUGUACUCUCUCUAUAUCUCUCGCUCUCGCUCUCGCUCGGCCCUCCUCCCCUGUGAUCGGGUCAGUUUGGUCGUGCAUGGCGGUGCUGACAUCCGCGAUG